AGUUUUGCGCAGUGGCAGUAUCGUAGCCAAUGAGGUUUAUCCAAGGCACGAUUAUUGCCAACUGAAAACUUUUCCCAAUACCCUGCCAUGGCGACUUGAAAUAUAGUCGUCACUGGCAAUUUUUGACAGUCUCUAUGGAGA